GUCCAGGGAUGGGAAUCGAACCCACAAUGUUCCGCUUACCGGGCAGAUGCCAUGUCCGUUAGGCUACCCUGGA